AACAAACGCUGGCGGCGUGCCUAAUACAUGCAAGUCGAACGGGGAAAGAAGCAAUAUGAGUACUAGUGGCGCACGGGUGAGUAACGCGUGGAUAAUCUGCCUUGAAGAGGGGGAUAACUAGUCGAAAGAUUAGCUAAUACCGCAUAAGACCACAAGAACUGAGGUUCAAGGGGUCAAAGGUUUUUCGCUUCAAGAUGAGUCCGCGUAAGAUUAGCUAGUUGGUGAGGUAAUGGCUCACCAAGGCAACGAUCUUUAACUGGUCUGAGAGGAUGAUCAGUCACACUGGAACUGAGACACGGUCCAGACUCCUACGGGAGGCAGCAGUAGGGAAUAUUGCACAAUGGAGGAAACUCUGAUGCAGCGACGCCGCGUGAGUGAUGAAGGCCUUCGGGUCGUAAAGCUCUGUCGCAGGGGAAUAACACAAUGAAUGUACCCUGUAAGAAAGAAUCGGCUAACUUCGUG
rnacentral:rRNA from 1 species